AUUGAACGCUGGCGGCAGGCUUAACACAUGCAAGUCGAACGAGUGGCGGACGGGGGAGUAAUGAUUGGGAAUCUAGCUUAUGGAGGGGGAUAACUAAGGGAAACUGUAGCUAAUACCGCGUACCAUAGGAUGAGCCCAAGUGGGAUUAGGUAGGUGGUGAGGUAAAGGCUCACCAAGCCGACGAGCUCUAGCUGGUCUGAGAGGAUGACCAGCCACACUGUGACUGAGACACGGCGCAGACUACUACGGGAGGCAGCAGUGGGGAAUAUGGCGCAAUGGGGGCAACCUGACGCAGUCAGGCCGGGGGAAUGAAGAAGGCCUUCGGGUUGUAAAGUUCUUUCGGUAGCGAGGCGUUAACUACAGAAGAAGCACCGGCUAACUCCGUGCCAGCCGCCGCGGUAUUC
rnacentral:rRNA from 1 species